rnacentral:rRNA from 1 species
GAUGAACGCUAGCUACAGGCUUAACACAUGCAAGUCGAGGGGUAACGAGAGGGAAGCUUGCUUUCCUUGUCGACGACCGGCGCACGGGUGAGUAACGCGUACCCAACCUGCCCCCAACUAGGGAAUAACCUUGCGAAAGUAAGACUAAUACCCUAUAAUUUCCUCAGAUGUCAUCUGACGAGGAAUAAAGAUUUAUCGGUUGUGGAUGGGGAUGCGUCAGAUUAGCUUGUUGGCGGGGUAACGGCCCACCAAGGCAACGAUCAGUAGGGGUUCUGAGAGGAAGGUCCCCCACAUUGGAACUGAGACACGGUCCGAACUCCUACGGGAGGCAGCAGUGAGGAAUAUUGGUCAAUGGGCGGAAGCCUGAACCAGCCAAGUAGCGUGCAGGAUGACGGCCCUAUGGGUUGUAAACUGCUUUUAUACAGGAAUAAAGUUAGCCACGUGUGGUUAUUUGUAGGUACUGUAUGAAUAAGGACCGGCUAAUUCCGUGCCAGCAGCCGCCGUAA